rnacentral:rRNA from 1 species
UACGUAGGGUGCGAGCGUUGUCCGGAAUUAUUGGGCGUAAAGGGCUCGUAGGCGGUUUGUCGCGUCGGGAGUGAAAUCCACUGGCUUAACUGGUGGCUUGCUUUCGAUACGGGCAGGCUGGAGUUCGGUAGGGGAGUCUGGAAUUCCUGGUGUAGCGGUGAAAUGCGCAGAUAUCAGGAGGAACACCGGUGGCGAAGGCGGGUCUCUGGGCCGAUACUGACGCUGAGGAGCGAAAGCGUGGGGAGCGAACAGG